AUACGAAGGGUGCAAGCGUUACUCGGAAUUACUGGGCGUAAAGCGUGCGUAGGUGGUUGUUUAAGUCUGUCGUGAAAGCCCUGGGCUCAACCUGGGAAUGGCGAUGGAAACUGGGCGACUAGAGUGUGGCAGAGGGUAGUGGAAUUCCUGGUGUAGCAGUGAAAUGCGUAGAGAUCAGGAGGAACAUCCGUGGCGAAGGCGACUGCCUGGGCCAACACUGACACUGAGGCACGAAAGCGUGGGGAGCAAACAGGAUUAGAUACCCUGGUAGUCCACGCCCUAAAUGAUGCGAACUGGAUGUUGGGUGCAAUUUGGCACGCAGUAUCGAAGCUAACGCGUUAAGUUCGCCGCCUGGGGAGUACGGUCGCAAGACUGAAACUCAAAGGAAUUGGCGGGG
rnacentral:rRNA from 1 species